UGUAAUUAGAGCGUGGUGGUGUCAGGGCUGUAAUUAUGCAGAUUGAGAGUGUGAGGGGAAUGGGAAUCAUAAAUAGAGGCUUUGUUGGGCUUGAAAGGAGCUAAUUCAGCCAAAAGCCGCCGUUUGUAGGUUUGAAAUGUGCUGAUUCUGGGAGUUUUGGCACAAAGCGAGGAAAGCGACACGUUUUUUGAAGUUGCGUUGGUGGUGAAGCAAACACUGAACCGAGCAUUGCAGAAGACGACGUAACUAUUGGUUAUGUACAGGAGAGCUCCUGAGGUGAAAGAUGCCCUCGUAUUGAAAUGUCUUUCUUAACACAACUCGGAUACGUAGGUAGGCUUGUAGCUUGCAAAUCUUUUUUGCAUGAGAUAUGAGGUGUUCUCACGGUAGUGGUUUUGCAUUGUCUUUCAUUGCCCAGCACUGUAAGAAGCCAUUGCUGGUGUCCCUUGUGUCACCUAGGAGGUGAGCAGGGAUUCAGUGUUGCCCGACAGUUCAGGCAUCACACUGCCCUCGUUCAGUUCAUUUCCUCUGGCUACAGCUUUAGGGGACAGCCUUCUAAGUCACAGCCCUAAGUCUCCUAUGGCUCUGAUAUGAAACCAGGAACAAAUCUCAUGAAAUCAGGGAAGGUUUAGAUUAGAUAUUAUAAAAUAUUUCUUCACCAAAAGUGUCAUCAAGGAUUAGAACAGAGUGCCCAGGGAAGUGGUUGAAUCACCAUCCUGCAAGUAUUUGAAAGAUGUGUAGAUGGGCACUUGGGGAUGGUUUAGCAAGGAGUUGGCAGUGCUGGGUUAACAGGCUCAGGGAUCUUUGAUGUCUUUGCCAGCCUAAAUGAUUCUGUGAGUCUGAGGCUUGUAAGUUGCUCAGCUACCCACUAAAAAUAGCUAUUGGUCACUCACUACCCAGUUCUUGAACAUCAGCUUUAGGCAGAGCAGUAGCACUGUCAGCCACUGCUGCCUUCACCUGUCUCUGGUGUAGGGAGGUUUCUGGUGUAAGGAGGAACAGACACUGAUUCUCUGUUCAGGGCGUAAGUCAACUUUGAAAUCAUCCAGCCUGUCACCAUUUUGUCCCUUUUGUUUAUAAUCUGGAAACUUUCUUUUGCAUGUGCACAGGACAACAGCACUGUUUGUCAGUCUUUGAAGCACUCUUGCAGUAUAGAUAAUAACAACCAGUCCUAUAAGAAUGACUAGAAAGGAAGUGGAGUACAAAACAUUGACUUCCAGAUGAUAUAACUUCUAUCAGAGUAAAGAGAGAAAGAGUUAAUACAGCCCCCAGUGUACUACUAUGCAACCAGAUAGCACUUAACCCAAAAUUUUGGUUGUGUCUUCUCUCUCCCUUUGGAAGAAAGAAGGAGGAAAAUGUUGAGAGUGUAAAAAGCAUCUGGCCCCAAUUCUGCCAUGUUUUAUUAGAAUGAGAAACAGAAUCCAGUUUCCACUACUACAGAUAGCUGUAAUCUUUAUUGCCACAAGUAAAUGAAGAAUUGACAUGUUUAGUCACAGGUAAAAUGUGUAUCUCUCAGUUUUUUAUCACUGAUAAUGGUACUAGCCUUAAUUCUUAGAAGUACAUUGUUAAUCCAGUAAGAUUGCAAAAUGAUAUAAAAAGAUAAAAGGCCGCAUAUAUAAUAUUGAGUUUAUUAUACAUCACUAGUGUACAAUGAAAAAAACAGCCAAGAAGUUUAUUAAAAUAUCAGUACUGGAGGAUGCAGCAAGGCAGUAGAGGUGCAGUUAUAUAUCAUUACAUUUUUUUUCACUGAAAGAGUGGUUGGGCAUUGCAAUAAGUUGCCCACGUAACUUAUUACAUUAGUGGUUCCACCACUGUCUCUGGAAACAUUCAAGAGGUGUCUGGAUGUGGCAGUUUGGGAUAUGGUUCAGGAGUGAUAAUAGUGGUGCCAGGUUGAUGGUUGGACUAGAUGAUCUUGAAAGUGUCUUCCAACCCUGAUGAUUCUGUGAAAUACUCAAAAGAGAUUCAAAAUUGAGGAUUUUUUUUUUAAAUUUGCACCAAGGAUCCAAAGUCCUUUAAUGGAUCAGCAAAAAACCCACUAAAUGAGUAUCUGAAAUUGACAGUGUGAUCCGGAUAUUGCAUCAGAUAAUAUCUUGAUGGAGACACCAGUUUGGAGACACAUCUGGAGACAAAUUUGGAGACAGGGUAGAGGAUGUAGCAUCAUAGCACAGGAUCUUAAGUGUCACCAUGGGAAUGCUUGUCCUCAGUUAUGAGUACAAGCAGUUGAAAAUUUUCAAAUGCCCUCUACUGUUUGUGCCACCUACACAAAUGUUGCUAGCAGGCAUUCAUUUCAGAACUCAGUUGCCAAAGAGAAAAAGCUUAGGACUGAGCAUUGUGCUGUAGGAUGGGUACAACUGCGUCUUUUUCAGACAGAUGCAUUGAUCUCAGACAUCAUAUCACCAAGAAAAUGGUCCAGAGAUUGGCUCCUCCUUGACUGGGACUUCUUAAGUGUGAUACCCAGUAGUAUGGGUAGAAAGCAGCUUAAAGUUGUGCAUAAUUCAGCUACCAUGCUCACAGGCAGUGUGAGAGACUCUGUCUUUUUCAGGCAUUUCCUGGAUUUAGUAAAGGGUAGAAAUGUAUUUCAGUGUGUUGUAUUUGUUGCUCUAUUUUAAGUGUACUUGUAAUUUUGCUUACACAUAAUUCCACCAAUAACGUAACUUCACACAGAGGUGCUAGCAGGUAAAAUGUAUCUUGAUGAAUACACUGUCCCAUGGUUUUCAGGUUGGUCAGUUUGAAUACUGCAGAGAUGAUUUGAACAUCUUAGUCAUUCAAAUAGCUAACCUAAUUGUUUGGGUUUUUAAAAAUAAAUUACUCUCCUCCCAAUAUUGACAUUACUAAUAAAUUGUUAAUUAGUUCCAUUCAGUAUGCCAGCAAUAGAUGAUAAGUUUGAUAAACCCAGAACUUCAUCAGCACUUUACAAACCACACUGAAGGCCUGAUGGUUCCAUUCUUUUUUUAAGGCAUUGAUAAAAUGUGUCUAACACCAACCCCAAACAUCCUAAUGUGCCCAUGAAUCCUGUUACUCCUGGACUUGAGAAAUUAUAUGCCCUAAAUCAGUAGAAAUCUACUAUAGAAUUCUACUUACACAGUACCCUAUGGUAGGAAUUUCUGAAACAGUGUAGUCACUAAUAUGCCAUCGAUGCAGAGAACAAAGAAGCAGGAAGUCCGAAAAUCCCAUCUGCUCUUUCCUGGUAAUAAGCUUGUUGCUUUAUGCUGCAAUAGCUGCAGGCUGGAUCUGCCUUUCAGGCAAGCCAGUAAAGAAUUAAUUGCUGUAAUCCAGUCUGGGCUAUACAAAAGAUGUGUGACAAUAAGGUCAGAGUACAGAGAGUAAACUCCCAAGUCUUGUGAGAUUAUUUUAAAAUGUGCAGUUCCAGUCUGAAAAAUUACUGUGAAACUAGUUUUAUAAAAAUAGAGCCACUAUCAUGCCAGCAGAAGUCCCUCCUAUCCAGUAUUCUGCCUUUAGCAAGGGCUGGUAGUAGCUUUGUAAGGAAAAUAUCUCAGAAACAAGAAAAAUAUUGAGGGAUAUUUUCCCUCUUUCAGAAGUCAUUGAAUCAGGACAUCUGCGUCAUUUAAUUUUGAUAGCAGCCAAUGUGUAAUAAUAUUCCAUUUGCUGAGACCCAUUUUUAAGCCAUUUAAACACUAGGGCUCUACAACUCCCUGUGGCAAUUAGAGCUGCAAUUUAAUAAUGUAUUGUUAGAAAAACUACUUCUUAUUAUCUGCUUUAAAUCUGCUGCUUAGUAAUUUGAUUGGGUGCCCCUUAGUUCUGAUUUUCUGAGGAAGACAGAAUGAUUAAUCAUUCUCUAUUCAGCUUCUCUUUGUCAUUCAUGACUAUAUAAAAUUUAGAUACUUCUCUUCCCGGCUGACAAGCCGUAAUUUAUGUAGCCUUAUCCCCACAGAAAUUGGGCCAAACCUCCCAUUGUUUCCUGUCUCGCUCCAUAACGAAGACGGAAUUUUCUAACCCGUUGUUUUCUUUCUAUUCUCACUCCAUGUUUUCUUAUAAAGCCAAAUGUUCUCAGUUGAAGAAGUCAGCUUAACCAAAAGCAUAUUGCCUUCUUCAGAAACACUCAUAUAUUCAUGAGCAUGCCCUGCUUUAAAAAAUCUGUGCAGACUCUCCUCCAGUCUCCAUACAUAUCCAGAUGCUUCUGUAUUCUGUUAUUUAUUCCAAUUUGUACAAAUUGGCUUGAUAAAAAAAUAAGACUAAAUGAAAUGUAGUUCCCCAGACCAGUUUUUGUGGGUUUUUCAAGGCUGAUAUCCCAGCUAAUGCUUCCAAUUUGUUUGGCACAAGCCUGCUUUGAUUGGUAGGGUAAAUGUUUGUGAGAAGUUCAACAAUGUCACACUUGAGCUGCAUGGAGGUUUUGGAUGGAUACUGGCUAGACCUAGCAAUUUCUUAUUGUUAAAUGUAUACAUUUACUCUGCAUUAUUUGAGCAAUUAAACACUUUAUCCUAAAGUUAUAGCAUGGAUUCUUCAUUCUCAGUAUGUCUUGCAAACAUUUUGACUUCCUAGCUGUUGCUAAUUUCAUGCUAGCUGACUUUCUCUUUUUUUAUACAGUUUCCUUCUCUGAACUGCCAUGGUUCCUAUGGGUUUUUUCCUAAUUUAAUUAAUAUUAAAUUGAAGUACAUUGUAAUCACCAUUAGAAUGGAUUUACUAUAAGAACAAAUCCAAAAUUGCAUCAUUUCAGUGAGCUCAAAUUGCUCCCGUGCUUAUGGUAUCCAGAGAUACUGUCUGUGAAUUAAACUUAGGGUCUGCUAGUUUGUAGAUCCAUCUAGACAGAAUUAGCCAUGACAGCUCUUGUUCAAAGGGUUGUUAUUUGAUUGUUAUCAAAUCACUCUGACUUUCAAAUGCUUUAGAGUCUCUUCCCUCCCCCACUUCCCAUCCCUUCUGUUUAUUAUAAACUGAAAGCAUCAGGCUGAAUCUUGCAAAUCAGGAUGGUUUCUUUCUAAUGAUCUUCAUCCAUAACAAAGACUAAUUAGACUUUCAAAGAAGUUUGAAUAUUUACAUUGUCUCAAGUAUACAAGUAUAUUGGAGAGUAUAAUUUGGUUUACCACUGAUGAAUAAGAAGGAGAAGGUUGAGGGGGAGAUGUUGUGUUCAAGGUUGUUAAUAAAUGAGCUGAUAAUAAAGUUUUUGAAAUAUUGUUUGACUGUGAAGUGCUGAAGAUCACAAUUACAGAAAUACAACUUCUGUCCAGGAGGCUAAAAAUCUAUGACACACCUUCUGCCAAGACUCCAGAUUUCAGCUUGACUUAUCUUCACGGAACAGUGGCAGUUGAUUCAGGAAAAAUACCUUAUUUCCUGAUAAUAUGAUUAUAGGAAUCAUCUAAUCCUGGUUAUGAUUUUUUUCUCUUUUUUUUCCCUUUUAUUCAUCUUCUGCCAUCUUUACUUUUUGUCUAUUUGCAUAUAGUUGGGGAAAGAGAUUGAAGACAUUCACCAACUUCACAAAAAAAGUGGAAAAAAUUACUAUCCAUGUUAGCAAGUCCAUCAUGUGGAUACAUAAGUGAUUUUUACAGUUUGCAAAAUGCUAGUAAGUGUAGGCCAACAGACUCAAGAAUUUAUGAUGCUGCAAAGUGGUUUAGAAGUUGUCAUCCUAAAAAAAUAAACAGCAAUGUGCUUAGCAUUGGUUAUGUGAUGUAUGUAGGAAAAAAAUUAAAUAAUGCAAAACCCUGAGUCCAGUAGUCAUUGUGUUUGAGAAGGCAUAUGUGAGUGGCACCAUGUCAAAGGAGCAUGGAAAAUUUGCAGUUGCUUGAAAGGCUUUUCUUGUCUCAAAAUGGGCAUGUUAGCUUUUCAGAUAGGGAAUGAUUGAAAAAAAUAAGUACCUGAACUUUCAUCCAGGUUCAGUUUGGUUGAGCAAGAAUCUUUGCUGACUCUCCAGAGAAGCUCAUGAAAUUUUUUUUUUUUAUCAUUUAAUUUUUACUGUCAGGUGGGUUAGAAAAAAAAGCCUGUAAAAAUAGUGUGCAAAAACUUGUGUGUAAAAACUUGUCCUUGCACUAUCUAUAACCCGCUGAAUCACAAAAGAUACAAUAAAAUGGCAGAGAUACCUAGAGGGUAAUUUAGGUACAGUUAGAAAACUUACAUCCAAACUGUUUUUCCUGGACCCACUGUUGCAUAAACUGUAUAACUUGCAGAGUACUUGAGAUCUUUGCUGCAACAUCACUAGACUGGCAUAAAACCCCUUGCCCUUCCUCCCGCCAUGCCAGAACUUCUGGGUCUGGGUAGGGAUGGGUCUAUAACGGGCAGUGAUGGAUCUGUCAAUCUUACUCCCUCUGGGUCCCUUUUGUCCAUCCUUGAGAUGUGCAAUCAGUGCUGGACACAAUUCCAGGGCUGGGGGAGAGCUGGUCUUAAAUCAGCCCUUUCUGGGACAAUCUGGAAAUAGAAGAAAUGCAGUACAGAAAAAGUAUUUAUUGAGUACAUUCACUGGAUUGAUGAAGGGUGCAUGAAUUGUGGUAUUACUAAAGGAGUGUAUUCUUCUUAGCUAGAUCUUUUCCUUGUGUUUGCUCCAAUUUCAUAAUGAGAAGCCAAGUCCCUGCUAUCUUCAUUCCCUGUUUCAUUUAUGUUUCUACUGAGGAGAUUCUGAUUCUGAAUUAGAAGGCAGAGGAGUUUUUAAAUAGUCCUGGUUAUCUCCAAAUUAAAACCCAGAAACCACAGUUCUCAAAGCAUGUGCCCUCCUCUGAAUGGGUAUCUGGGAUGUCUCUCACUAGAGUGGAAGAGGCAGGAAUAAACAUUGCUCCUUCCCAGCUUUUGUCCUUCAGCUUUCCACAGAUGUCAGUCAUGUCAGAACUGGUAUGCUUGCUCCCAGGCAGAAUUUUGCUGUGAGAAAACUGGUGUUUUGUUCAAAAGGCUUUUCUGUUACUUUUACAUAUGUUGCUUGGGCAAAUGGAUAAAGUCAAAGCUCAAAUGUAUUAUCAAUUGUUGAAAACAAAACAGUUGAAAACAGUGUUCAAAUGCAUUAUCAGUCACAUACUUCUGAAGAUUUCCCAAAUAUUGUUUAACUAUUUGGCUAUUUGAAAUUACAAUGCUACAAGUAUGGUUAGGUGGAUUCUCAUUCUUAAUUCCAAGAUUUGAGUUACAUACAGGGAUAAUAUAAUUCGAAGUUCUGUGGGUGGAAACUCCCUGGAAGAACCAGAAGAUGUGAAGACAGACCAAUGUUUUCCAGAAUAUUCAUCUUACAGUCAAGUUUGACUAUUAAUUUCAAUGGCACCAUUAUUUACAACAGCACUAGUACCAUUAAAAGUUCCUUAAUUAACUUAUUUGCAUAAUGCUUUCAUCUUUUUCAUAAUGUUUUCUCCCCUUUCUGCUUCUUUUAGUAUUUCAACAUGCAAAAAUGGCUUGAAUGACAGAAGAAGUUUGUCCUUUCUUUCCAGAAUUGAUUGUGUCUUCUUUUUUUCCUGAGUUUCAAAAUGUUGGCUGCCAAUUGUUUUGACCACAAUAGCUGUCUUAAGCUCCCUAAACAGAUGUCUGAUGACUGCACAGCAAUGCCAAGAUUCAGACAAGUGCUUUUGGCAUGAUUAUAUUCAGAUAUUGAUUCUAACAGGACCAAACCAGCCACUUUAUGUCCUGGCACAGCCUACAAUGCUGUAGCUGUCAAUUUAUAACUGACACAGUUAUAAAAACCUCAUGAAAAAAUAUUCCAUUUCCAAGCAGCUUUCUUGGAAAGGGAGGGAAACUGAAUUUUUCUUGGGUCAUUCAUACAGGUGCAGCAGUACCACCCAGAGGCCACCGCUGUGCUGGACACUGCGCAAACUGGAGGCAGUUCCUGUCCAAAAGGGCUCAGAGGCUGGAAAGGCAAAGAAAACACUAAGGCUUAGAAGAGAUUAUCAUAUAAAGCUGUAUUUGUAAUAGUCUUCAGAUGAAACUCCCCAAAAUUUCAUUCUCUCACUGUCCUACUCAAGCCAAAUCUGAAUGUAGAUAACCCUUCUAAUCAUUGGCACUGCUUUUAAUUCUUAAUGAGACCACUUGUAUGAGAUGAUGAAAAUCCAGGAUUUGGUCUUUGGUCCCAAGACAAUGUAUUUUUUGUUCCAGAGUUGUUCCUGAGCUAUCAAUAAGCAUAUGAUGAUAGUGUGGCUAUCCAGUGGAACAUGGGCCAUAAGGAUCCAGCUUGCUCGGGGCAGGGAAUAUGGCAAAAAGACUACCAGGAACAUCUUGUUUAUUCCACAAACACAGCUGUUCCACUGUGUUACACAACCUGCUUAGAUUGUGCCAAACAUAUUUGAGAAUACCUGCAGAUUCUUCUCUCUGUAAUGCAAGGAAUGUUUGUAAGUCCUAGUUUUGCUGAUGAUGUUAGAGUUGAGUUGCUCAGACCAGGCAAAGCACAAAACAGAAGAGAAGGCUUUUGAAGUCAAAGAAGGACCUUAUCAGUUUAAGAACUUAGUUGUUCUGCAACAAUUAAGCAGCUAAUUGACAGAGCUCUUCUGGUCAACAAUUUCAGACUUCGGCACAUGAAACCUACUUAUGUCUUUAGUCUCUUUGUCCUUUGCCUUUAUGGAAUGAUGGAUGUGUCUGCUGCUGUGAAGAAAAAGGAGGUGUUGUGAUGCAGCAGAAGGAAGAAAAGGAGGCAUUUCUCCCUUGUAGUCUGGCAUCAACUAGUCUGAAAGCUGAAAUCACCUCCUGGUGUAAUGGAGUGGCUACAAUGAGCAAUGUUCAAGUAUGAUCAGAGAGCAAAACCAAUGAAGAAAGUGGGUGCUUUUCAUUCGAAACAAUGAGAUUAUGUUAAAACAUCAAGUAUCAAGGAAGGCAAGCAGAGUAGCAGAGUUCUGACCUUAUUGUUGUGAGUGAAUAAACUGAACACCUGAAGCUAUCGCAACACUACACACAUCCCUAUAGGAAGAAGCAAGGAACAGGGGUAACCUAUGGACUAAAUGCGAGAUCCAUUUGAUGUUUUUUACAAGGCAAGGUAAGGAGACUGUGAAGUAACAGAGUGUGUCUUGUCAAACUGACACAGAUCUUUAUUUCAAGAGGAAGAGGAUGAGGGGACAGUGUUACAGAAGUUUAUCACUCUGUGUCAAGCACUGAUAGAAAGGGAUGCUCAGGCUGAGUGUUCUGUGGAACCCUACACAGGAUACAACAGAAUAUAUUAACACUGCAAAGAUGUUCUUAUGACAUUCCUUGUUCUUGUAAGUAUCAGUAGUUUUGAAGCAAUCUACAUACUUAAAUGCAUCAAUAUGCAUUAUAUGCAUUAUUUCACUCCUUUCCUCUGAUUGCUUGAUUCCCCUCCCCGUAGAGCAAUGCCCCAGCUUUGUAAAAUAAAGUAUCCAUUACACACUGAAAAAAUGGGCCUGAUGAAUCACAAACCACCACAUAAUUUAGUACAUCAUCUCUCAAUACAGCUUUUCAGUCUAAUUUAAUGCAUUAUUGAAGAUAACACGUUCAUUAAAACAGCUGCCAGCAAACUCUUCAUUUGGAUUGCUUCAUGGAAGGACUAGUCAAAGGGAAAUGAAACACCACAGGCUAAUGGUAUGCAAAAAGGACAAAAAACAUUUAAGUUUUGAUACAUUGGUAUUGAGAUGUUAAUAUGAUUUUUCUUAAUGAGUACUGCUCUGCCAGAUACGGUAAAUCACAAAACUCAUGUUUCUUCUUAGCCAACUUACAACAUAUAAUAAAAAAUAACAAAAAAAAAAACACAUGGCAAAAUUACCAGGGCUGUUCAGUAAGGAUGACUUAAUGAGCACAGAAUUAUUAUUUAUUGUUUCUUAUUGCUACUUCUCUGUCAGUGAGCAUUUAAGUAGCAGAUAUUUUCAUCCAGAGCUCCUGGUCUCGGGGGGAGUGAACUGAAAUCUCUCAUCCCUUCAAACACUAGGAAGUCCUAGAUUCUAAUGUUCUGGCUCAAAUGAAUGUCUAGCAUCUUCCAUUGUAACUGGGCUUUAGUCGUAAGUGUUGGUCUCCCAACAGGACCAAAUUUGUGAUGUUAAAAUUUUGCCAGUAUUUUUUUCAUCCCAUUGUACCAUUGUUUAUUGGUAAAGCACAGAGUUUUAACAAUUAUAGUUUAACUAGGACAUGUCAUCAGCAAGAGACACACACCAGAAAAAUUAUCAAUAACUAAAGAUUUAUUAGAGUUACUGACAUUAAUAAGAUAUUAAUAAAAUUAACAAAACAAAAUAUCUGCUGUCUCAUGUCUCCAUUGCAUAAUCAGUCUGAACAUCCUUUAAGCCAGACAACAUACUUACUCAGCUGCAGGCCCAGUGGUUUAAAUUACACAGACAUCUAGACCUCCUGCCUCCCUUAUGAAAUGUGCAGUCAAGGAGGGAGAGUUCGACGGAGACAGCCACUCACCAGUCUGUUAUUAACCUAUGGCUUUAAUACUUUGCAUGCUUUUAAGCUCUUGCCUAGGUCCAGCAGCCUCCAAACACUAACUUUGUCAUGUCCAGGAAGUCCUUUUAAACUGAGAUGUAAGGAAGAAAAGUCCAUUCUGAAUAAACCAUAAUCUAAAGCAUCUCGUGACAAAGACUAGUAGUCAAUACCUUUGUCUGUCCUGUAAGCUACUGAACUACUGAUUAUUUUAGACAACAUAUUAUAACAAAGUAUGAAUUCUUAUUUCAGUUUCAAUACUUAUAUUCUCGCCAAAAGGAAAAAAAAAAGGCUUCACUGUAGUAUCGAAGGAGUGUAACUGACAUAGUGUAGAUGUCUAGAAAUCUGAGCUGCUCAUUCCAGAUUCCUUUGCAAACCAUGGAAGUAAAGAUGUACAUUGAUUAAUGUCACAGUAAAAUAGAUGUUUGCAAUCUGACCAAUUGAAUUGCUUCUUACAAAUGUUUGGUUCUCUAUAUAGGAUAGAAUAAAACAAGUAACUCAGAAACAGAAAUCUACACUGUAGAUGUAUAAAUUUAGGCAAGAUGAAUCCAUCCAAAGUAAGUUUAAUAAAAGUAGGAAAGAUAAAUACAACAACAUACUGUCAUGCAACGUAGGUAUUUCAUGAUUUCAUGGCAAAUAUUAAGUGUGCACUUCUUAAAAAAAUGGUGAUUAAAUAGUUACCAGAAUUGCAAACAUGUAGUGGGGUAAAACCCUCUAGCAAUUUUUGUCCAGAUUCCUUCUGCAGUAGUAGAGAUACAUUUUCCAAAAAUCAUUUGUUCCGUCUCAAACUUAUAAUUUAAGUUAUUUGGGGAGAACCUUUCUCUGGAUUUUGAUGUCUGCCCUUGGAGGUGCAAUAUGAACCCAUUUU